rnacentral:rRNA from 1 species
CCUACGGGAGUCAGCAGUGAGGAAUAUUGGUCAAUGGGCGCGAGCCUGAACCAGCCAAGUCGCGUGAGGGAGGACGGCCCUACGUGUUGUAAACCUCUUUUGCCGGGGAGCAACGGGCGUCACGUCUGGCGCCACUGAGAUUAACCGGAGAAAAAGCAUCGGCUAACUCCGUGCCAGCAGCAGCGGUCAUGCGUGGGAUGCGAGCGUUAUACGGAUUUAUGGGGUUUAAAGGGUGCGUGGGCGGUUCGUUCAGUCAUGGGUCAAAUUGAGGGGAUCAACCCCUUCCCGACAUUGAAACUGGCGCUCUUGAGUGGAAGAGAAGUAUGCGGAAUGCGUGGUGUAGCGGUGAAAUGCGUAGAUAUCAGGAGGAACACCGGUGGCGAAGGCGGCCUGCUGGACUGCAACUGACGUUGAGGCCCGAAAGCGUGGGGAGCAAACAGGAUUAGAUACCCCAGUAGUC